rnacentral:rRNA from 1 species
UACGGAGGGGGGCAAGCGUUGUCCGGACUUACUGGGCGUAACGGGUGCGUAGGCGGUCUUGUGCGUCGGUGCUGAAAGCGCCCGGCUUAACCGGGCGAGGCGUGCCGAUACGACAAGACUGGAGGGGCAGCGAGGGUGGCGGAACUCCUGGUGUAGUGGUGAAAUGCGUAGAGAUCAGGAAGAACACCCGUGGCGCAAGCGGCCACCUGGCUGCCAACUGACGCUGAGGCACGAGAGCGUGGGGAGCGAACCGG